rnacentral:rRNA from 1 species
AUACGUAGGUGACAAGCGUUAUCCGGAUUUACUGGGUGUAAAGGGCGUGUAGGCGGAGAUGCAAGUCAGGAGUGAAAUCUAGGGGCUCAACCCCUAAACUGCUUUUGAAACUGUAUCCCUUGAGUAUCGGAGAGGCAGGCGGAAUUCCUAGUGUAGCGGUGAAAUGCGUAGAUAUUAGGAGGAACACCAGUGGCGAAGGCGGCCUGCUGGACGACAACUGACGCUGAGGCGCGAAAGCGUGGGGAGCAAACAGGAUUAGAUACCCUGGUAGUCCACGCUGUAAACGAUGAAUACUAGGUGUGGGGGGACUGACCCCCUCCGUGCCGCAGUUAACACAAUAAGUAUUCCACCUGGGGAGUACGAUCGCAAGAUUGAAACUCAAAUGAAUUGACGGGG